GACGAACGCUGGCGGCGUGCUUAACACAUGCAAGUCGAACGGAAAGGCCCUGCUUUUGUGGGGUGCUCGAGUGGCGAACGGGUGAGUAACACGUGAGUAACCUGCCCUUGACUUUGGGAUAACUUCAGGAAACUGGGGCUAAUACCGGAUAGGAGCUCCUGCUGCAUGGUGGGGGUUGGAAAGUUUCGGCGGUUGGGGAUGGACUCGCGGCUUAUCAGCUUGUUGGUGGGGUAGUGGCUUACCAAGGCUUUGACGGGUAGCCGGCGUGAGAGGGUGACCGGCCACAUUGGGACUGAGAUACGGCCCAGACUCCUACGGGAGGCAGCAGUGGGGAAUAUUGCACAAUGGGCGGAAGCCUGAUGCAGCAACGCCGCGUGCGGGAUGACGGCCUUCGGGUUGUAAACCGCUUUCGCCUGUGACGAAACGUGAGUGACGGUAAUGGGUAAAGAAGCACCGGCUAACUACGUG
rnacentral:rRNA from 1 species